rnacentral:rRNA from 1 species
GACGAACGCUGGCGGCGUGCUUAACACAUGCAAGUCGAACGGAAAGGCCCUGCUUUUGUGGGGUGCUCGAGUGGCGAACGGGUGAGUAACACGUGAGUAACCUGCCCUUGACUUUGGGAUAACUUCAGGAAACUGGGGCUAAUACCGGAUAGGAGCUCCUGCUGCAUGGUGGGGGUUGGAAAGUUUCGGCGGUUGGGGAUGGACUCGCGGCUUAUCAGCUUGUUGGUGGGGUAGUGGCUUACCAAGGCUUUGACGGGUAGCCGGCCUGAGAGGGUGACCGGCCACAUUGGGACUGAGAUACGGCCCAGACUCCUACGGGAGGCAGCAGUGGGGAAUAUUGCACAAUGGGCGGAAGCCUGAUGCAGCAACGCCGCGUGCGGGAUGACGGGCUUCGGGUUGUAAACCGCUUCCGCCUGUGACGAAGCGUGAGUGACGGUAAUGGGUAAAGAAGCACCGGCUAACUACGUG